GACGAACGCUGGCGGCGUGCUUAACACAUGCAAGUCGAACGGAAAGGCCCUGCUUUUGUGGGGUGCUCGAGUGGCGAACGGGUGAGUAACACGUGAGUAACCUGCCCUUGACUUUGGGAUAACUUCAGGAAACUGGGGCUAAUACCGGAUAGGAGCUCCUGCUGCAUGGUGGGGGUUGGAAAGUUUCGGCGGUUGGGGAUGGACUCGCGGCUUAUCAGCUUGUUGGUGGGGUAGUGGCUUACCAAGGCUUUGACGGGUAGCCGGCCUGAGAGGGUGACCGGCCACAUUGGGACUGAGAUACGGCCCAGACUCCUACUGGAGGCAGCAGUGGGGAAUAUUGCACAAUGGGCGGAAGCCUGAUGCAGCAACGCCGUGUGCGGGAUGACGGCCUUCGGGUUGUAAACCGCUUUCGCCUGUGACGAAGCGUGAGUGACGGUAAUGGGUAAAGAAGCACCGGCUAACUACGUG
rnacentral:rRNA from 1 species